rnacentral:lncRNA from 1 species
AGUUUAAGUCUCGCCCCCUCACGCCCAAGUUCCGUAAAGCUUUACUCACCCCCAAUUUAAUUCGAAACAAUUUUCAGAUUUUAGUUAAUAUAUAAGUAUUACAAUAAAUAUAAAGACAAGUUCUCAACUGGUAUCUGCUCUUUUCUAGAAUGGGUGGAGGCAAGGUAUAUCCCUAUCCAAAAUAUGUAUGGUCACCGGCUGGUGGGUGGUGGUGUCAACCAAGAAACUGGAAACGAAAUUCUGCCAUUGCCUUGGCUUGUACUUUUGUUAUUUCAAUACCUAUUAUUUGGCUAGACUUUCAAUUACAGAGGACAUAUCAUCCACCCCAUAAACCUUCCUGGUUACAAAAGUUGGCUAAGCAUGGAAAGGAAGAUGAUCCAAGAAUAACUUGAACAUCUCGGUUACACUUACCAAGAUUUGAAUUUCUCGAUUACACUUACCAAAGUUAAUUGUAAAUUAUUUUCUUGUAAUAAUGCUAAUUAAAAUUGA